UACGGAGGGUGCGAGCGUUACUCGGAAUCACUGGGCGUAAAGGGCGCGUAGGCGGUCUAGCAAGUCUGGUGUGAAAGCCCAGGGCUCAACCCUGGAAGGGCACUGGAAACUGCUAGGCUUGAGUUCCGGAGAGGAGGGGGGAAUUCCCGGUGUAGCGGUGAAAUGCGUAGAUAUCGGGAGGAAUACCGGUGGCGAAGGCGCCCCUCUGGACGGAGACUGACGCUGAGGCGCGAAAGCGUGGGGAGCAAACAGG
rnacentral:rRNA from 1 species